rnacentral:lncRNA from 1 species
ACAAAACUGAAGCCAAGACAUAAGCCAGUUUUUUUUUUUUUCUCUUUUAAAUUUCAGAGUUAAAUUCUUCAUUGAAGAAUGCAAUGAAAAGCAACGUGAAAAAGGCAAGGGUGUACCCAUGUAUCCCACAUUCAGGGUGUGACUGUUUGCAAGCAGACGUGCCUUCAGAUAGCCCACCAGGUCUGCAGAGCCUACAGAAAAAUGAAAGAUCACUCCAUACCAGACUCAGAGACAUCCCUGCCACGCGGCACACAGAUUUAUAACUCUGGGCAAAGGUUUCAACAAAUACGAUUUCUUCACUCCAAAGUCCAUCUAUGUGUAUUGCCUGAAAUACAGAGUGGUGCAUGAUUGUCUGCUGGUCUCUAAUCCCAGGAGCCUCGGCAGCAGAGGCAGGACAAGUUCCUAUAACUCUGGAGACAGAGAUGGCUCACACAGUGCUGUGUAGGGGCGUUCAUGGAAUUUAUUGUUCUUUUUUCAAACUGACAUAGUGCCUACACUGACACAGCCCAGAAAAAAGAAACUAUUAUAAAUGAAAGAUCUAAAAUUUGUCUAUUGUAAAUGAAAAGAUCAUAACCCAAAGAUUUGGUGAAAACAUGCUCCUUAUCCAGACAGUCCACUGUAAUGUUUCAAUUGAAGAGUUUCACUCAGAGAAAGAGAAUGGGUUCAAACAAACAAACAAAAGAUGACAAGAUCCAGGGGUUAGGUUUGAUGGUCUUAAACACACAAGGACGAAGACAAAACUUCUGAUUCCAUGUCGGCGAGCUGGGUACAUGAACUGGGAUGUAAAAUUGAAUCUUUAAAGGCUAUAUUACACUUUCCCAUCCACCUCUUCCAUGAAGACAGGCAAUAGGGAGGUACUUAAAUUUUUUCAUGUCCUAUGGGUGUCACUGAGCAAUUUGUUUCCUAAGCAUCUCCCAUGAAUAUGGCUGAAAUAACAAGUAAAACACACCCGGGUGCCUAACUGGAGGAAUGUACUUCUAACGUCCAAAGUCCAUGUGACAAUGUUAUCUGAAAAACAUUUGACAUGAACCCUAUGCAAUGAUACUGCUGCUAAGUCACUUCAUUCAUGUCCGACUCUGUGUGACUCCAUAGAUGGAAGCCCACCAGGCUCCCCCGUCCCUGGGAUUCUCCAGGCAAGAACACUGGAGUGGGUU